UUUGCAUCAAUCUGUUGUGAUCAAAUCUGGAUGCUUAGGAACAAAGCUACAAGAGAACAGCUAUGCAUCAACCCCUAUCAUCUGAGAGGUGAGAUCAACAAAGUUUACAACCAACAUCUUCAAGCAUGAGAUAUGGUGUCACCAAUGAAUUCUAUUCAUGUACAUGGUGCCCCCCUACCCUUCCUUUCCUCAAGAGAAACUUUGAUGUUGUUGUCCGAGACAACCACACUUGCCAAGCUACCUUGUGCCGUGACCACUCAGUUGUCAAUAAAGCUAGAGAACUUGGACUACGAAAGUGUUAUGUCCCAGACAAAGCUAGAACAGCCAAACCACGUGGAUGAUACAAUUGAAGUCACGCAGCUGAAGUUACCAAGUUGCUGAGGAUUCAAAUAUCUGCUCUGUUAUGUUCUUUUAGUUCAAUUUGAUUGCAAUAAGAAUUCCUAUUAUUUAGGAGAUUAAGUUUGUUGUGAUUAGGUUGGUUCUCUAUUAUUUAGGAGAUUGAGUUGAUUGUAUUAGGAUAUUGUUUAGCCAGUUGUUACGGCUAUUUGAAUUAUCUAGUAAUCAUUUGUAAUUGCUAUCAGAAGCUGUAUUUAAAUACAGCAAGGAAAGAAGUAAGAGGCAAGCAGAAAUUAAUCUUAAUUCU